AAAGGAAAUUACCGCAAGUGUACAUAUGUGGUUGGAGUGAUCGUUAAAUGAACUUGUGUGUUACCCGUGCUUGUAAUCGUGCUAGUAUUUGUAAUCGUGUUCGCAUUAUCGUAGUCUGUGAAUCGUGACCAGUCUGUACUGUGUUAUUGUGUGUAUCAGUCGUGUUUUAUUGAAAUAAAGCCUUGUUUCUAAGGUUAUGAAUUGACUUAGUAUAUUACAGUGGUCUUUCCAUUCCUAAUUUAAGCAGGACGAAGAAUAAAAAAAGGAAGACGUUCAAAGUGAUACGAAGUAUGAUGUUUGGACUCUCUGGACCACUGAUGAUGAAUUGUAAAAUUUCUCUUCCAAUAAAACUUCCAAGUAUACAUGUGAAGCUAUUGACAUGGCUGUUCAUCAUAAGUCUAGUUGUAGCUGAAACUGAGACGCUAAACAAGAAGUGGAAUGUGUACCAACAGCCAAAACCUACUCCAAAGAAAACAACUAGAUCCGUUAUGAAAGCUAAAGCCAAUUAUGACAAUAAACAGAAUGCAUUCAGAUACAAUAUAAAAAACCCAGUCAUUCAAGGAUUUUACUUCAAGAAAUGAGAACUGGGGAUCGUUUCUUAGGUCAAUUAAUCAUUACCACUUUAGCUGCAUGUCUUUGAGUUCACGUAAUAUGCAAAUUAUGAUCCGUGGGCAGCAUGGAAUAUCUGUCUAGUAUAUAUUAUUCAUUGAUUUAUUGUAACUAUUAUUUCCUUCGCAUAGAUUUACGAUUUGGAUCUCAAUGUUUGUAAAGACAUAAUUAUUAUUAGUCAGCAAUACUUUUUACAAAGCUUAUAUAGUUUACAGUAUUAUGCAAUUGCUUUCUUGUAUUUUCUUUGCACUUUAUUUAGGCCUAUAUGCAUUUAUUGUUGAUUUGGUUUGUUCUUGUUUACUUACUUACUUAGACUUAGGUCCUCCCGCGCCGUUCGGCGCAUUGGGCGGUAAGCUGUCUCCACAAAGAUCUGUCACUGGCAAUGUCUGAAGCCUCCUGGUCCUUGUUUACAUAUAAGUAAUUUAUUUAAAAAAAAAACAACGCAAUCCUACAUAGCUACGUACAAAAUAGACAGAUGCGGGACCAAAAGUGUUGCCGAUAUGACUGCAUUGUUUGGCAUAACUGUGUUGUUUGACCCGACUGUUUCUAUAGAACGCAUAAAAAAAACUUUAGGCAAAGUACGAAAUUAAUUUUUCCUGAAAAAUCGGAACAUAAAAUUAACGAUAACUUGAUUUUGUAACGUUUUAGCUAGAAAAUUAAAUGUGGUGUAAGAGAGAAGUGUGAAUUUACAUAAAUAGAGUUAAAAUGUUUUUUAUACAAAAUCCUGAGCAACCGAUUUUCCUUAAUGAGAAGAAGAUUAUUUGUUUUACUUAUUAGGAGAGGAAUUUCAAACAGUUAUUUGGCGUUAUUGCUUUUUUUAAUAUAAAAUUCGGAACAAUUUUUGCGACGAUUUGUAAGAAAAUUAAAGUAAUGUAGGUCGAUUUCUUUUUCAAAACAAAAUCCGGAACAUACUUUACCGAUAAAAAAAAAAAGGAAGGAACAUUAACCCUUUCUCUCCUGACGAUACCAGCGUCGAUUCCACUAGAAUGUGAUAAAUAAUUACGGAGAGAAAGAGUUAAAGGUUAAAUCAGAUUUUCAAUAGCAUUUAGUGUUGUUGUUUUUUAUCUAAACGUGACGGAAAGACCAACCAACAGACAAAACGCAAAAAAACAAAAAAUCUGAUUAUUUUAAAAUUUUGCGGGAAUUAUUUUUGCACCAUUGAAAGCCUGGGCGUCACGCUACUGCAUGAAAUUCGCUGCAUAAAAGUCCAUUUAAAAAAUGUACGUGAUAUUUACAUACAAAGUGCAUUAUUAGCCUUUAUAAACAAAAAUAUAUAUGUAUUCUUUUAAUUUUAGCAGCUAGUUGACCAGAAAUAAAACAGUUAAUUAAUAUU